rnacentral:rRNA from 1 species
GAUGAACGCUAGCUACAGGCUUAACACAUGCAAGUCGAGGGGAAACGACAUCGAAAGCUUGCUUUUGAUGGGCGUCGACCGGCGCACGGGUGAGUAACGCGUAUCCAACCUGCCCACCACUUGGGGAUAACCUUGCGAAAGUAAGACUAAUACCCAAUGAUAUCUCUAGAAGACAUCUGAAAGAGAUUAAAGAUUUAUCGGUGAUGGAUGGGGAUGCGUCUGAUUAGCUUGUUGGCGGGGUAACGGCCCACCAAGGCAACGAUCAGUAGGGGUUCUGAGAGGAAGGUCCCCCACAUUGGAACUGAGACACGGUCCAAACUCCUACGGGAGGCAGCAGUGAGGAAUAUUGGUCAAUGGACGAGAGUCUGAACCAGCCAAGUAGCGUGCAGGAAGACGGCCCUAUGGGUUGUAAACUGCUUUUAUAAGGGAAUAAAGUGAGUCGCGUGAGACUUUUUGCAUGUACCUUAUGAAUAAGGACCGGCUAAUUCCGU